UCUCUCCCUCCCUCCCUCGCUCUUUGUCUUUCUCUCUGUCGCUCUCGUUCUCGUCCUCCCGCGCCCCCGUCCGCCCUCGCCCACCCUCGCUUCCUCCUGUUCCUCCUACUCUUCCAUCCCCUUCCGCGUUCUCUUUCUCUCUGUAUCACGCCUCUUCUUCCGGCCCGCUCGCUCAUUGAAAACCGGCUCUAGAGGUUCGAACGAGCCGGCCGGCCGGCUCGCAUUCGCGUUCGCUUACUCGCGUGUCUCGUAUAUAUACGAUGGUGGUAGGCGCACAUGCACGAGUCCCGUAAGCGUGGCCGUACGUAUUUUAUAGCGCAGACGUCAGAACACGUGUACCGCUCGUUAGAGAGUACAGUGAGCCCCCCGAUCGCGCCGCGUGUACAUACACCGCUACACGUAACGAUCGCCGACCGCCGCGCGCCGGCCGUCGGCAGACGAGGCCACGUCGCAAAUUUUCGGGGGUCCCUUCGAUCCCGUGACCCAGCGGAUUUUUUUUCUCUUUCCCGUGGGGAAAAGAGGGGAGGGGAAGGGAGGCGAAUACCCCGGAAUCGUUAAUAAGUUAAUUUGUGUACGCGACGCGUGAGGGCGAAUCGCCGAAAGGGUUGCUCGAGCGCGCCGGAAGUGGGUAUCCGAUUUAAAGGAAACGUGAAAGCAGCGCGGAUUCAACGGUUGAUCUUCUAGGCAACUUUUAGGCAACAACCCGGCAACUUCUUGCGCUUUGGCCCGCGCGCGGAAACCCGGACAUGCAGACGUGGUGUGUUUAUAAAGUUUUGAGCUCUCUUCCCGCGCGCUCUCUCUCUCUCUCUCUCUCUCUCUCUCUCUCCCUCUCUUUCUCUCCAUCUCUCUCGACCCGCGCACAAUCAACGCGUUAUAAUCCGUUCAGUUGCACGACAAAGUUUCAAACUCGUCGAGUGGCCGCCCACGCGGCGGCGACAUCGGCGGCGGCGACGGCCACGGUGAUGGUGCUGCUGCUGCUGCUGCUGCUGGUGGUGGUGGUGGUGGUGGUGGUGACGGGGGAGGUGCGAGGGGGCGGAAGCGCAUACCGGGAGCAAUUAUGACGUGCAUGGUAACGUUUAACGCGCGGCGAUGCCGGUCGCGUUAAAUACCGUCGAACAUAACAUUUCUGCCGAUGUUCACCCCUUCGCCCACGCGCGUCCGUCCGCCCGUCCCUCCCAAGAGAGAGAGAGAGAGAGAGAGAGAGAGAGAGAGAGAGAGAGAGAGAGAGAACGCGCGGCGCGGCGCGUCAUUGCGCGUAAAUACUGACGUCACCGCGUCGCUCGCGCGCCGCGGACGCCGACGUCGAUGUGCGAAAGAGCGCUCGCUUUGUCGCACUUUGUCGCGAGAGCAAAAAUAGACGCGUCGUUUAAUGCCUUCGUCGUCGUCGUCGUCGGCCGUCGGCGGCAGCGGCGGCUCGCGCGACAAGGGACAGAAGAAGAUCGCCGCGCGAGCGCGCUUACGGGCUUCAAAUUAGGUGGAAAUCUCGAUUAACGACGCGAAACCACCGCGCGCGCAUACACACAUACACACACACACACACAUACCACCGUCACGCCAGCGAUUAUCGAGAAAAUACCGUAAACCAGUUCUAAGACGAGAUGACCGCGACGCCUUCCACGUUGCGAUCGCGACCGCGCUUUACGUACCCGACCUCAAAAUAGCAUACUUUUUUUUUUCCUUCAAUAAUCCCGUCUCUCAAUGUGCGGAAAUAUCACGUGUCUCGAAAAUAUAUGAACGGCAACGUUCUCAAAGAUAGAUGGUUAGUCUAAUGGUCCUUCAGAAGUGCUUAUUUUUCAAUAUUCUUAAUGAGCGUUUCCUUCCAACGUGUAUCUCGUUUUCAAAGAUAAGAGUUCUAAAAAAAGAGAAAGAGAGAGAGA